ACGAACGCUGGCGGCGUGCCUAAUACAUGCAAGUCGAGCGAGCGGAACCAACAGAUUUACUUCGGUAAUGACGUUGGGAAAGCGAGCGGCGGAUGGGUGAGUAACACGUGGGGAACCUGCCCCUAAGUCUGGGAUACCAUUUGGAAACAGGUGCUAAUACCGGAUAAUAAAGCAGAUCGCAUGAUCAGCUUUUGAAAGGCGGCGUAAGCUGUCGCUAAGGGAUGGCCCCGCGGUGCAUUAGCUAGUUGGUAAGGUAACGGCUUACCAAGGCAAUGAUGCAUAGCCGAGUUGAGAGACUGAUCGGCCACAUUGGGACUGAGACACGGCCCAAACUCCUACGGGAGGCAGCAGUAGGGAAUCUUCCACAAUGGACGAAAGUCUGAUGGAGCAACGCCGCGUGAGUGAAGAAGGGUUUCGGCUCGUAAAGCUCUGUUGGUAGUGAAGAAAGAUAGAGGUAGUAACUGGCCUUUAUUUGACGGUAAUUACUUAGAAAGUCACGGCUAACUACGUG
rnacentral:rRNA from 1 species